GAUGAACGCUGGCGGCGUGCCUAAUACAUGCAAGUCGAGCGAACAGAUGAGGAGCUUGCUCCUCUGACGUUAGCGGCGGACGGGUGAGUAACACGUGGAUAACCUACCUAUAAGACUGGGAUAACUUCGGGAAGCCGGAGCUAAUACCGGAUAAUAUAUUGAACCGCAUGGUUCAAUAGUGAAAGACGGUUUUGCUGUCACUUAUAGAUGGAUCCGCGCCGCAUUAGCUAGUUGGUAAGGUAACGGCUUACCAAGGCAACGAUGCGUAGCCGACCUGAGAGGGUGAUCGGCCACACUGGAACUGAGAAACGGUCCAGACUCCUACGGGAGGAAGCAGUAGGGAAUCUUCCGCAAUGGGCGAAAGCCUGACGGAGCAACGCCGCGGGAGUGAUGAAGGUCUUCGGAUCGUAAACCUCUGUUAUUAGGGAAGAACAAAUGUGUAAGUAACUAUGCCCGUCUUGACGGUACCAAACAAGAAAGCCACGGCUAACUACGU
rnacentral:rRNA from 1 species